CGGGUGCACUGAUCCAGCCGGGCCUUUCCCUCUGUGGAACCCCAUGGCCUUCACUGGCUGUGGUGGGGAAACAGGACUUUUACUUUGAAAAAAUUAGAGUGCUCCAGGCAGGCCUAUGCUCGAAUACAUUAGCAUGGAAUAAUAGAAUAGGACGUGUGGUUCUAUUUUGUUGGUUUCUAGGACCGCCGUAAUGAUUAAUAGGGACAGUCGGGGGCAUCAGUAUUCAAUUGUCAGAGGUGAAAUUCUUGGAUCUAUUGAAGACUAACUACUGCGAAAGCAUUUGCCAAGGAUGUUUUCAUUGAUAAGGAACGAAAGUUAGGGGAUCGAAGACGAUCAGAUACCGUCGUAGUCUUAACUAUAAACUAUGCCGACUAGGGAUCGGACGAUGUUAUUCUUUUGACGCGUUCGGCACCUUUCGAGAAAUCAAAGUGCUUGGGCUCCAGGGGGAGUAUGGUCGCAAGGCUGAAACUUAAAGAAAUUGACGGAAGGGCACCACCAGGGGUGGAACCUGCGGCUUAAUUUGACUCAACACGGGGAAACUCACCAGGUCCAGACACAGUGAGGAUUGACAGAUUGAGAGCUCUUUCUUGAUUCUGUGGGUGGUGGUGCAUGGCCGUUCUUAGUUGGUGGAGUGACUUGUCUGCUUAAUUGCGAUAACGAACGAGACCUUAACCUGCUAAAUAGCCCGUACUGCUUUGGCAGUUCGCCGGCUUCUUAGAGGGACUAUCGG
rnacentral:rRNA from 1 species